rnacentral:rRNA from 1 species
GAUCCUGGCUCAGGAUGAACGCUGGCGGCGUGCCUAACACAUGCAAGUCGAGCGGAAGCAUUUUUAAGGAAGUUUUCGGAUGGAAUUUGAAAUGACUGAGCGGCGGACGGGUGAGGUAACGCGUGGGUAACCUGCCUCAUACAGGGGGAUAACAGUUAGAAAUGACUGCUAAUACCGCAUAAGCACACAGUACCGCAUGGUACAGUGUGAAAAACUCCGGUGGUAUGAGAUGGACCCGCGU